AAAGCUGAAAAAAAAGUCGUUUAUUCUUUGAUCUCUGUGAUUUGAAUUGAAUUUUGCGCCAAAGAACAGCUCAUCGUGAAAAAAUGACGAGAAAUUGUGAAAUUAUUAAUGGAUUGAAGCAAAGAAUUGUAAAUUUACGAUUAGUUCGGUAUGAUCGUAUAAAAAAAUUAUAGGAUUUAUGGUUAUAAAAUUUUUAUCAAUUCUGCCUAGUCGUUAUUCCUUGAUUUAUAACUAUAUAACAAAAUUUCUGUCUGUAUAUCAUAUUCCGCUUCUUACAACAGAGUGAUGUUUUAUGAGUAAUUUAUGAAUGAGUUAUUGACAAAUACAUACAUGUAAUAUAAUAUAAAAGCUAAGAACAUUAAUCACGUGGCUUCUAAUUACGAUAAAUUGUUACAGUUUUUAUUCGAAUUGAAAAUAAUAAAGCUCUAACCUAUUAAUGUUUCUUUUUUAUUCAUUAAACGAUUACGCUAAAAUGAAAGAUUCAUAAAAUAGAAUCAACUAAUUAAACCUAACCUAAUUCAUUAAUUUUUAGUACAGAAUUUUUAGUAUAGAAAUGUGUUUAAUUAUUACAAUCAUCUCCGCUAUAACGAAGCGUAUUUAUAACCUAAAAAUGUUUCGACAAAAAUUUCUCCUCGAAAUAUCUUUGAAACUAAAAUCAAACAGCGAUAACACUUAAUAAAUAAAAACUUAUUCAGAUGAUUUCAAGAGCGAUAAUUGUUUGUACAUAUUGCACACAUGCUUGAAAGGAACAAAGGUGGAUAAAAGUAAAAGAAAGAAAAUCGGGCGAAGAAAGUUGCUCGGUAUCAGUGGCGGUGGGUCAGAAGAUAAGAAAGAGAAACUCUUUUUAUUCGGCCGGCCGACUAUCUCAUUAGAGAUCGGGAAACGAGGCGGAGGCGGGGCGCCUGCGAUAGGGCAACCGCCACGGAUGAACCGACCAGACCAGUCUGAGCUGGGGAGAAAUUCGGAAAAAGAAAGCCAAGAGGAAUCGGUCGUUAAUGGUCACCUAGACCGGAGAGCGGCUCGAGUUGCUCGAGUUUUUUGCCUGUGGAGCGAGCGGCUGUGCAAAAAAUACCGCGGUCUCGAGCGAGGGAUAGGAAAAGGGAAAUCAAGACCGUUUGACUCGAGUUGCCUGCUCGAUCCCGGCCACCUCGUUUGUGAUUUGGUCCGCGAUUUGAAACGGUGAUUUGGAUUGAAUUGAAGUAAAAAAAAAUUGGUAUAUCGAUCGAGGCUUGUUUUUAUUAUAUAGAUAUGAGAAGAUCAAGUAGACUGUUUUUUGGCUUUGGGUAAAAGUUGUAUCGUAAUUUUUAAUAAUUGGAAAAAAUGGAUCAAUUUUAUUUGAUUUGUAAUUAUAGUUUAAUUAUAAUUUAAGAAUUUAUUUUUAAUUACAAUGUUACAAUGCUUUUUUCAAAAAUAAUUUUUCCAUAUACAAAUUGCUCGUUAGCAAAAUUUGCAUUAAAAUAGAAUAAAGAAAAGAGGAUGAAUGAAAAAAAAAUGGAAUUAAACAUGAAUGACUUUCUAAGAGUGAUUAUCUAAUAUCUAAUCCAGUAUGAAGGCUAUGUCAAGGUUUCUAUAUAGAAAUGAAUAACAACACCUUGCAUCGCAUCUGAUCGUUCUACGCAUCCUCAAUGACGCACGUGUCGCCUCGAUAACGAAUCAAAAAACAAAACCAACGAUGUCGAACGGAUAUUCAAAGCGAUAAUUUCUCGGUUUUUUUUAUAGUUUCGUCAUCGAUUAUCGCGAAAUGGAGAAAUUUUUCCUUUUGGAAAUUACAUCGUGACAGCUCUAGCGAAACAAUGUUUGAUUGGUUGACAAACAACGAUUGAAACGCGCUAUUCAACACGUUUCGUUGAAUUUCUUUUUCGAGAAGUAAAAAAAUAUAGAGUUGACAAUUAUCUUCGUUAUUGAAUUUUUUUGAAUCGAAGAUUUCCUUUUCAAAUGCCAUUUGUCUAUAAAAAUUUGUAUAUUAUAUAGAUUAUAAAGAAGUUUAUAGUUUUCAUCGUUAAAAGCUAUUAUCAAAGGAAAUUAUAUUAAGAUAAAAUUGGAAUAUACUUUCUUCAACUUUCUUCGAUUUUUUAUUCGCCUCUAUCCAACGUGAAUAAUACUAGAAUCGAUCGAAAUCGACACGUAAAUCGCAUACGUAAUCGAUCCACAAUGGAUUCCUUGGGAUUCGAACACGAUCGAAACUUUCGAAAUCGGUUUGGAAAAUUGCCUCACCUUCAAUGACCGUAUAGGAACACCUCUAUGUGCAUUUACGGUUACGUAUACGUACACGUUCACAAUGUUGCAAUCCUUUGAAUUAAUAAUUCAACUACGGCGACUUUAUUCGAGAGGAAAAUCAAUAAUAACUUUGAUUUUAACUUUGAGAUUUAUUUAGAAGAGAUAUAAAAAAUGAAUAAACGAAUAUAAAUCAAUUUCAAA